GACGAACGCUGGCGGCGUGCUUAACACAUGCAAGUCGAACGGAAAGGCCUCUUUCGGGGGGUACUCGAGUGGCGAACGGGUGAGUAACACGUGAGUAACCUGCCCUUGACUUUGGGAUAACUUCAGGAAACUGGGGCUAAUACCGGAUAGGAGCUCCUGCUGCAUGGUGGGGGUUGGAAAGUUUCGGCGGUUGGGGAUGGACUCGCGGCUUAUCAGCUUGUUGGUGGGGUAGUGGCUUACCAAGGCUUUGACGGGUAGCCGGCCUGAGAGGGUGACCGGCCACAUUGGGACUGAGAUACGGCCCAGACUCCUACGGGAGGCAGCAGUGGGGAAUAUUGCACAACGGGUGGAAGCCUGAUGCAGCAACGCCGUGUGCGGGAUGACGGCCUUCGGGUUGUAAACCGCUUUCGCUCAUGACGAAGCUUUGUGUGACGGUAGUGGGUAAAGAAGCACCGGCUAACUACGUG
rnacentral:rRNA from 1 species